rnacentral:lncRNA from 1 species
UGCCAGCCUCUAAGGACUGAGAUGCUCAAUAGUGAGGGAGCAGGUGAGUGCUAAACCAGAUUAUGUCAAAUGAAGUUUCAAAGAUGAGUCUCACAUUCGCCUCUGUCUGGGAUCACACGUUUGCACUUCUCCAGGGGAAUCUGUGUUGAGAAAACAACACAACAAAUUUUAAUAUUUAGCUAAUGACAUUAGGGUAAUUCAACACCAAGAGAAAUACAAAAUUACACUGCAUGACCACAGAGGAAAAGAUAUGGUGGGUGGUGUUUUCUGGCCAGUGGUCAGGUAAACUGCUCAUUACGCAAGCAAGCCCUUGACCAGGUACCCUACAGGAUGCUAAGUGAAUGGUGAAGGGCCCAAGAGGUCCAUCCUUGGCCUGCAAAUCUGACUCUAGGAGACCCUGUGGCAAGCUCUCUGAGCCUUGACAGUCUGCUCACCAAAGAGUUUUGAAAGGCUUCCCUUGUGACCUUCAUGGCAAAAGAAAGAUUAAUGAGAAAGUUCUCCUCUUAGCAUAAACUGGAAAAGCUCUUGUCUUCCACAAUGAGGAGGCCCUGACCUGAGGACCCAGUGAGUCACACGUGACCGUGAGCCCAGGAAUGCACACUGAAUAUGCAUUUACAGGCAUGCAUUUUUCUGGAGCAAGUGCUGUACCAACUCUGCCCAACAGAAAUACAGCCCAAGUCACAUACAAAAAAAAAAAAAAAAAAUUGCCAGGGUUGGGGAUUUAGCUCAGUGGUAGAGCGCUUGCCUAACAAGCGCAAGACCCUGGGUUCAGUCCUCAGCUCCAGAAAAAAAAAAAAAAA